AAUCUGAUUCAAAAAUCACAUUGUUCAAAGCUAAUCUGUGUGCCUGGGUGAGGCCAAACAACAAGGCCUGAGCUUCAGCUUCCUCAGCUUCAGUACAUCCAUGAAAGCAGCAGCCCGCUGAGAAGACCACCGCACCCGAACUAUCUCUGCCAAUAGCUCCGAGCGCAGCUAAACCAGAAGCUGGUAUGAAAGAAGCAUCGACGUUAACUUUUAUGUGAUUUCCAGAAGGCUUUGCCCAUCUAAUAGCAUGUCGAGGAUGACUCGUAUGCUGCAUUUGAAUUUCAUGCAUUUUCUGCUUUCCUUUGGCAUCAUUUGCAAUCAGAUUUGGGGCUGAUAAACACUCCCUAUAGCUUUUCAAGAAACUCACUGAAUCCCAAACAGUAGCCUUGCCUUUGUUAUGAAUUACGUCAUCUCUUAGGUGCCAUGCCCUCCACAGCACAAGCAUAAACUUCUCCUUCAUCUCGCCAGGGCAUAAGCUCAAGUUUUGCAAUAGCCAAUCAGGGGAGAAAAGCAAGAGCGACUUAACUUCAGGUACCAUCCAGCUCAAGUGUCCUCUUGUGCUUAUUUUCCUUUGGUUGUUUCUUUUGGUUGUGACGUCCACAACAAGAGUAUACAUGGACAGGAUACUUUUUGAUUGAGACUAAUGGAAGAAGCCUUAUUGGUUACUACUUCUCAUUAUCAAGGCCGCCGGAGAUUUAUGUGUGCGUGAUCAGGUUUAACUGGUGGGGUUUGCUGCCCUUGAGAAACAUUGGAUCGGGGCGGCCGGCCAGGAAAUCGUGUUUAAUUACUUUAAGUAUUUAAAUUCUAAUGAUUACUUGCUAAGUUAAAGCUUGGGAUCAGAUUUACUUCCUUAGGUGGUGGUCGAGACUUAGAGAUAAAGAAGUUUUUGUUUGGUCGACUUAUUAGGCAAGUUUGAGUCGGCUAGCGGUACUGAUAUAUAUAGUCAUGGUACCCUCUUUGUAAAAGCAGGUUAUAUUUUGGAAUUUGGACAACGUCGUGUUUCGAUCA